rnacentral:rRNA from 1 species
AGAGUUUGAUCAUGGCUCAGAUUGAACGCUGGCGGCAGGCCUAACACAUGCAAGUCGAGCGGUAGCACAGAGAGCUUGCUCUCGGGUGACGAGCGGCGGACGGGUGAGUAAUGUCUGGGAAACUGCCUGAUGGAGGGGGAUAACUACUGGAAACGGUAGCUAAUACCGCAUAACGUCGCAAGACCAAAGUGGGGGACCUUCGGGCCUCAUGCCAUCAGAUGUGCCCAGAUGGGAUUAGCUAGUAGGUGGGGUAACGGCUCACCUAGGCGACGAUCCCUAGCUGGUCUGAGAGGAUGACCAGCCACACUGGAACUGAGACACGGUCCAGACUCCUACGGGAGGCAGCAGUGGGGAAUAUUGCACAAUGGGCGCAAGCCUGAUGCAGCCAUGCCGCGUGUGUGAAGAAGGCCUUCGGGUUGUAAAGCACUUUCAGCGGGGAGGAAGGCGNUCGAUUGACGUUACCCGCAGAAGAAGCACCGGCUAACUCCGUGCCAGCAGCCGCGGUAAUACGGAGGGUGCAAGCGUUAAUCGGAAUUACUGGGCGUAAAGCGCACGCAGGCGGUCUGUCAAGUCGGAUGUGAAAUCCCCGGGCUCAACCUGGGAACUGCAUUCGAAACUGGCAGGCUAGAGUCUUGUAGAGGGGGGUAGAAUUCCAGGUGUAGCGGUGAAAUGCGUAGAGAUCUGGAGGAAUACCGGUGGCGAAGGCGGCCCCCUGGACAAAGACUGACGCUCAGGUGCGAAAGCGUGGGGAGCAAACAGGAUUAGAUACCCUGGUAGUCCACGCCGUAAACGAUGUCGAUUUGGAGGUUGUGCCCUUGAGGCGUGGCUUCCGGAGCUAACGCGUUAAAUCGACCGCCUGGGGAGUACGGCCGCAAGGUUAAAACUCAAAUGAAUUGACGGGGGCCCGCACAAGCGGUGGAGCAUGUGGUUUAAUUCGAUGCAACGCGAAGAACCUUACCUGGUCUUGACAUCCACAGAACUUUCCAGAGAUGGAUUGGUGCCUUCGGGAACUGUGAGACAGGUGCUGCAUGGCUGUCGUCAGCUCGUGUUGUGAAAUGUUGGGUUAAGUCCCGCAACGAGCGCAACCCUUAUCCUUUGUUGCCAGCGGUUAGGCCGGGAACUCAAAGGAGACUGCCAGUGAUAAACUGGAGGAAGGUGGGGAUGACGUCAAGUCAUCAUGGCCCUUACGACCAGGGCUACACACGUGCUACAAUGGCAUAUACAAAGAGAAGCGACCUCGCGAGAGCAAGCGGACCUCAUAAAGUAUGUCGUAGUCCGGAUUGGAGUCUGCAACUCGACUCCAUGAAGUCGGAAUCGCUAGUAAUCGUAGAUCAGAAUGCUACGGUGAAUACGUUCCCGGGCCUUGUACACACCGCCCGUCACACCAUGGGAGUGGGUUGCAAAAGAAGUAGGUAGCUUAACCUUCGGGAGGGCGCUUACCACUUUGUGAUUCAUGACUGGGGUGAAGUCGUAACAAGGUAACCGUAGGGGAACCUGCGGUUG